AAUAGAUACCCGGGUAGUCCACGCCGUAAACGGUGGGCACUAGGUGUGGGCGACAUUCCACGUCGUCCGUGCCGCAGCUAACGCAUUAAGUGCCCCGCCUGGGGAGUACGGCCGCAAGGCUAAAAACUCAAAGGAAUUGACGGGGGCCCGCACAAGCGGCGGAGCAUGUGGCUUAAUUCGACGCAACGCGAAGAACCUUACCAAGGCUUGACAUACACCGGAAACGUCCAGAGAUGGGCGCCCCCUUGUGGUCGGUGUACAGGUGGUGCAUGGCUGUCGUCAGCUCGUGUCGUGAGAUGUUGGGUUAAGUCCCGCAACGAGCGCAACCCUUGUCCCGUGUUGCCAGCAGGCCCUUGUGAUGCUGGGGACUCACGGGAGACCGCCGGGGUCAACGUCGGAGGAAGGUGGGGACGACGUCAAGUCAGUCAUGCCCCUUAUGUCUUGGGCUGCACACGUGCUACAAUGGCCGGUACAAUGAGCUGCGAUACCGCGAGGUGGAGCGAAUCUCGAAAAGCCGGUCUCAGUUCGGAUUGGGGU
rnacentral:rRNA from 1 species